rnacentral:rRNA from 1 species
UACGUAGGGUGCAAGCGUUGUCCGGAAUUAUUGGGCGUAAAGAGCUCGUAGGCGGUUUGUCGCGUCUGCCGUGAAAGUCCGGGGCUCAACUCCGGAUCUGCGGUGGGUACGGGCAGGCUAGAGUUCGGUAGGGGAGACUGGAAUUCCUGGUGUAGCGGUGAAAUGCGCAGAUAUCAGGAGGAACACCGAUGGCGAAGGCAGGUCUCUGGGCCGAUACUGACGUGAGGAGCGAAAAGCGUGGGGGAGCGAAACAGG